GCGGCGAGCGAAGCGGGAAGAGCCCAUCGCCGAAUCCCCGGGCCCCACCGAGGGCUCGAGGGAACUGUGGCGUAAGGAAGUCCAAUCCCGCGGCCGUGCCGGCGCCGAGGUCCUUCUGAUUGAGGCGUGCUCCGUCCCAGGGCGGGUGUCAGGCCCAGGCGGGCGCCAGCCGGUCGCGGACAAGGGCCUCCGGGAGUCGGGUUGUUUUGUAGCGCAGCCCAAAGAAGGGUGGUAAACUCCAUCCAAGGCUAAAUACCUUGCACGAGACCGAUAGAGC
rnacentral:rRNA from 1 species